UCCGGUUUGUCACCGGCAGUAUUGUUAAAGUGCCCAACUUAAUGAUGGCAACUAACAACGAGGGUCGCGUUCGUUGCGGGACUUAACCCAACAUCUCACGACACGAACUGACGACAGCCAUGCAGCACCUGUGUGGAACCCAACUAAAUGACUCUCUUCUUUCAAAGAGAUAAAGUUCCCAUGCAAAGGUUGGUAAGGUUCUUCGCGUAGCCUCGAAUUAAACCACAUACUCCACCGCUUGUGCGGAUCCCCGUCAAUUCCUUUGAGUUUUAAUCUUGCGAUCGUACUCCCCAGGCGGAGUGCUUAACGCGUUAGCUAAGAUACUGAAUGCCUAAAACAUCCAACAUCGAGCACUCAUCGUUUAGGGCGUGGACUAC
rnacentral:misc_RNA from 1 species